rnacentral:Y_RNA from 1 species
GGUGGUCCAAAGGUAGUGAGUUAUCUCACUUGAUUGUUCAGUUACAGAUUAAACUCCUUGUUCUACUACUUUUCCCCCUCCUCACUACUGCACUUGACUAGUCUUAA